rnacentral:rRNA from 1 species
AUUGAACGCUGGCGGCAGGCCUAACACAUGCAAGUCGAACGAGUGGCGGACGGGUGAGUAAUGUCUGGGAAACUGCCCGAUGGAGGGGGAUAACUACUGGAAACGGUAGCUAAUCCCGCAUACCAUCGGAUGUGCCCAUAUGGGAUUAGCUAGUAGGUGGGGUAACGGUGAACCUAGGCGACGAUCCCUAGCUGGUCUGAGAGGAUGACCCGCGACACUGGAACUGAGACACGGUCCAGACUCCUUCGGGAGGCAGCAGUGGGGAAUAUUGCACAAUGGGCUCAAGCCGGAUGCAGCCAUGCCGCGUGUAUGAAGAAGGCCGUCGGGUUGUAAAGUACUUUCAGCGGGGAGGCGUUACCCGCAGAAGAAGCACCGGCUAACUCCGUGCCAGCAGCCGCGGUAAUAC